GCCAGAUGAAGCAGUUACAAGGACUUUACAGACCACCCUGGUUCAAACUGUAGAAUAGGGAUCUUGAACAGAACCGGGAAGGAAGAGUGGAGUCUUACAAGAAUGGAUGGGAAAAUGAAGCAGGGUGGUACAGGCCAACUUAAUGUCCCAGUCAUCAAUAAUGUAUGGAGUCUCUACACAGGAACCGGGACUUUCAUGAAGGUUGCACAGUAGGGUCACAUAAGGUGGUACCCAGCUGAACUCCUCUCAGAACUAUCUCUGGCAGACCCAAGAAGGCAAUCAUAAAAAGAAAGAGCUGUGCUCCAGCUGGUGCAGCCACUCUACAUAGACGAUGUUCUAUUCCCCGCUGCUUGACAAGUGCUGGAGAGCAGGACGGGCAGAUGUUCACACCUGGUGAGGAGGGAGAGCAUUUUGAGGUUUUUGGAAGGAAGUGGUCUCAGUUAUUUGCAGGUGAAGGAGAUCAGACUAGAUUUCAUUGAUCUCACCAGAUCCAUAUUCUCCCAAUGAUCCAUGCUGCAAGAUGUACAACUGCAUUGUACUGGAAAUCAACUCUAGCACUGGAGCACUGGUUACAUCAGCUGAUAAGAAUCACUGAGCUAAAAACUGUAGUGGUGGAAGCUGCUAUAUUCCUGGACAACGGGAAGUCUGUGGUAUCCACCAGAUCCCAGUCUGGGCUUCAUUCUGCAAGGUGCUGAGCACUCUGGCCCUGAUCCAGCAAAGCUCAUAAACAAGUGCUUAGCUUUAAGCCCCGGCCUAGUCCCGUUAAAGUUAAACAUGGGUUUAAAUGCUUUGCUGGCUCAGGGCCAGCAUGUGGCUGGAUCAAGCUCUCAGCGACUAUUCGUCCCUGAAACACUGAAACUGAAGAAGAACAUACCAAAAUCUAUAACGGAACUGACUGAAGAUAAUACUCAGGACUCCAGAAAAAUGUCUUGGUAAUAAUUGAUUGAGAUGUAAGUGAUAU